AGAUAGAUCUGUCUCCUCCCAGACAAAAGCGAUGCUAUCCGUAUAUCCGCACCACGCACAUCCACACAGUCCAUGUGUUGGGCUGGACAGUAGGCCUAUUUUAAGACGGGAUGCGAGGUGGGAUAGAGAAAGGGGGGAUGGGAUCAGGUUUCUGAUUGCUCAUGGAGUGGACAGCGCCUGGUGCUGAAAGCUGCAACCUCAGAGCUGUGAUGCUAAUGGGAAAGACAGUGAGAAGAGGAGCCCUGGGUAAAGGAACAUCAGCUCACAUUCACCAAUAUUAUGCUGAAAAAUAGCUGGAACACAGCUGGAAGUGGAGGCUGUUUGAGAAAUACAGCAGAUGAGUGUAAUAGGCAUUCUGGCUUUGAUAUGAGGAGGCUGUACAGCUACAGCACACAUGUAUUUUAGGAACUAGGUCAGGUUUAAUAGCCCGC